AAAAAACACUAGGGGAGCCAAAAAGGCUGAGAUGCGACAUGCGGACCCUUGAACUUGAUCUAGUUCAUACUAGCGAAAGAAAGUGUCUUGAAUGAUUU
rnacentral:ncRNA from 2 species